rnacentral:tRNA from 1 species
GCCUGUGUAGCUCAGUGAUCAGAGCACGAGUUUUGUAAACUCGGGGUCGGGGGUUUGACUCCCUCCACAGGCU